GGGUGGGGUAGAGGCAGCCACUCCAGUUGCAUUUCUGGCCCCUGGCACCAGACUGAGAACCCUUUGCAACUGAUCAGAACUCACCUCCUGUCAAGGGCUGAGUUCCUUCCUGUGUAGAAGAUGACAGAGCCAGUGUCUAUUUCAGUUUCAUUGGUCGUGUCCUCAGUCUCAGUGAGCGUGUUGUUUUCUGGACCUGUGGCAUGGCUUAUUGCGGGCUUGGUGGUUGUCAUUGUCAUCGGUGGCAUCACCUAUUAUGUAGUGAAACAGGAGAAGAGGAACCAGAACAAAAUGAAAUGACAUGACUCCUGUCCAGGCACUGGCAGAGGGGCAGGCUGCCUUCACCUGAAUACGUGCAGCAACGCACUGCAUACAUUUCAGAGUUUAUAUGAACAAGAUAAACUUUUCAACAAGAAAAAAUCAUUAAACAUACAAUGAACACU
ensembl:lncRNA